rnacentral:tRNA from 1 species
CAGAAGGUAGUUUAAUUGAGAAUGUCAGCUUUGGGAGCUGGUGGUGGAGGUUUAAUUCCUUCCUUUCUGA